CCCUUCCCUUUCAUGAAUAUGACCUACCGAAUUAGACUAUUUACCGGAUUUGUAAUCACUUAAGCAACACGACGGGUGCCACAUGUGGAGCAGGAUCUGCUUACCCUUCCGGAGCACCUGAGAUCACCCCUAGUUUUUGGUGGGGUUCGUGUUGUUUAUUCUUUAGUUUUCUAUGUUGUGUGGUGUGUACUAUUGUUUUUCUGUUUGUCUUUUUUAUUUUUAGCCAUGGCGUUGUCAGUUUGUUUUAGAUUUAUGAGUUUGACUGUCCCUUUGGUAUCUUUCGUCCCUCUUUUAAAAU
rnacentral:lncRNA from 1 species